CUGUUUCUUAAAGGGAUCAACAGGCCCAGAUGCCCCAUUUUUCAUUAAAAAACUCCUUUGGUAUUCUUUGAUCAGGACAAUGAUAUUUGCUUUACAUUUCCAAUUGUAUCAAAUUAUUUGGGGGACUUUUUUUUGUUUUAUUUUGUGAGCUCCAUCAUCCACCAUCUACAUUCCUGCCCUCACCUACGGUCACAAACUGAGGGUCGUGACCAAAAGAACGGAUUCAAGCGGCCGAAAUAAGUUUCCUCCGCAGGGUGUCCGGGCAAGAUAAAGUGAGAAAUUCGGUCAUCCUGAAGGCGCUCAGAGUGGCUCAGGCAUCUGUUCAGGAUGCCUCCCUGAUGAGGUGUUCUGGGCAUGUGCCACCAGCAGGAGGCCGCCGGGGCAACCCAGGACACGUUGGAGAGAUUAUGUCUCCCGUUUGGCCUGGGAACGCCUUGGGAUUCCUCGGGAAGAUCGGGAAGAAGUGGCUGGGAAGUGGGAAGUCUGUGCUUCCCUGCUCAAGCUGUUGCCCCCACGACACGACCCCGGAUAAGCGGUAGAGAAAUGGAUGGAUGGAUUGGUGUUAUGU